rnacentral:snRNA from 1 species
GUGCUCGCUUCAGCAGCACAUAUGCUAAAAUUGGAACGAUACAGAGAAGAUCAGCAUGGCCCCUGCACAAGGAUGACAUGCAAAUUCGUGAAGCGUUCCAUAUUUUU